GGGCCCGCACAAGCGGAGGAACAUGUGGUUUAAUUCGAUGAUACGCGAGGAACCUUACCCGGGCUCGAACGGCUGUUGAAUGGAGUAGAGAUAUUUCAGUUCGCAAGAACAAUAGUCGAGGUGCUGCAUGGUUGUCGUCAGCUCGUGCCGUGAGGUGUCGGCUUAAGUGCCAUAACGAGCGCAACCCUUGUCGUUAGUUACCAUCAGGUUAUGCUGGGGACUCUAGCGAGACUGCCACCGUAAGGUGAGAGGAAGGGGGGGAUGACGUCAAAUCAGCACGGCCCUUACGUCCGGGGCGACACACGUGUUACAAUGGUAGGUACAGAGGGGAGCUAGUCAGUGAUGGCAUGCGAAUCUCGAAAGCCUAUCUCAGUUCGGAUCGGAGUCUGCAACUCGACUCCGUGAAGUUGGGAUUCGCUAGUAAUCGCGCAUCAGCCAUGGCG
rnacentral:rRNA from 1 species